GGCGAACGCUGGCGGCGUGCUUAACACGUGCAAGUCGAACGGAAAGGCCCUUCGGGGUACUCGAGUGGCGAACGGGUGAGUAACACGUGGGUGAUCUGCCCUGCACUUUGGGAUAAGCCUGGGAAACUGGGUCUAAUACCGAAUAGGACCACGCGCUUCAUGGUGUGUGGUGGAAAGCUUUUGCGGUGUGGGAUGGGCCCGCGGCCUAUCAGCUUGUUGGUGGGGUAAUGGCCUACCAAGGCGACGACGGGUAGCCGGCCUGAGAGGGUGACCGGCCACACUGGGACUGAGAUACGGCCCAGACUCCUACGGGAGGCAGCAGUGGGGAAUAUUGCACAAUGGGCGCAAGCCUGAUGCAGCGACGCCGCGUGAGGGAUGACGGCCUUCGGGUUGUAAACCUCUUUCAAUAGGGACGAAGCGCAAGUGACGGUACCUAUAGAAGAAGCACCGGCCAACUACGUG
rnacentral:rRNA from 1 species